rnacentral:lncRNA from 1 species
ACUUACCUGACUGCCUUAGGGGCACGAGGCUGAACAGAUAGAUGCCCGGCACCCGGAAAAUGGGACAACUUUCUAGGACAACAUCACUGUUUAAGCCGCUGCUCAGUGACAGUUCUCUGCAGGGUUCAGGACACGCGACUGAGAAGGCAGCGGAGUUCCAGGCACCAGUUGCUGUAUCAGGCAAUCCACAACACACAGGAAGCACCCACAUACCUGUGCAAGAUUGAUUCCAGUACCUGGCAAGUGGAUGUUAAGCUGUGAGUGGAGAGGUUUGCAUUAUUUUGAAGUGUAAUCAGCUAGUGAGU